rnacentral:misc_RNA from 1 species
UCUCAUCUUCAGAUUGUGUAGCUUGCUUCUCAUUCUCAGCACUCUGGAUGCUACUUUGCAUUUCAAGAAGUUUUUCUUGCUCCUCAUCAGCUGCUUGUGGAUUUACAUCGUUCAAAGCCUUAGGCUUGUUGCUCGUGGAUUGCUGGUACAUAACACCACCAAGCAUGCAGAUCAAGAGUCCCACUGUUCCAACAAGAGUCGAGUGCUUAUCCCAGAUAACUAGAUUUAUCACCACUGUCAAUAGUUUGUUCACUAUGCCAAGAACAGUAAAGCCAGUCGCAGAUAUUGUUCUGCGGCAAGAAAAUCCAAAGAAAGAGAUAGCUAAACCAAACAAACACGACAGGGCUACGGGUAACACCACUUGAAAACUGUACCAAUCUGACUCAUCCUGAAUUUCAUGCUUUAUUUUUUUCAGCUCGCCCAUUAUAAGCAGCUCAAUAGGAAAAAGCAUCAAAGCCUCAAGAUUGUUGUAUAACACGAGUCCCCACGUGUUUAAGCCAAUUGUCAUUACGACAUGCUUGAUAUAAACAAAAUCAAUGGACAUGCUCACUAAGUACGCCACGGCCCAGCUAUAAGCUGUAAGUGUGAACUGGUAAUCAGUAGUGACAUAGAGCACACUACCAGCAAAGAUUGUACCCAGUGACGCCCAUGUUUUAAUAGCUGGCCAUGGUUGGUGCAAGUAGAGGGUCUCUCCUAUUGCAACAAAG